ensembl:misc_RNA Y_RNA Y RNA
GGCUGGACCGAGUGCAGUGGUGUUUACAACUAAUUGAUCACAACCAGUUACAGAUUUCUUUGUUCCUUCUCCACUCCCACUGCUUCACUUGACUAGCCUUAA